GGCAAGAUCUCAGCUCCCUGCAACCUCCACCUCCCAGGUUCUAGUGAUUCUUGUGCCUCAGCUUCCCAAGUAGCUGGGACUACAGGCACGCACCACCACGCCAGACUAAUUCAUUAGUAAUCUUUAAAUGCAAAGGAAAACCACACGGAGACACCGCUUUGCGCUCAUUAGGAUAGCUAUGAUAAAAAAGAUAGACAACAAGUGUUGGUGAAAAUGUAGAGAAAUUAGGACCCUCCUGCACUGAAAGUGGGAGUGUAAAAUGGUGCAGCCCUUUUGGAAAACAGUUUGGCAGUUCCUCAAAAAGUUAUGAUAACAGAGUUACCAUAGGAUCCAGCAAUUCUACUCCUAGGUAUAUGACCGAGGAAUUGAAAACAAGUGUUCAGACAAAAACGUACACAGGCUGUUCACAGCAGCACUGUUCCCAAGAGCCAAGAGGUAGAAACAAUCCAAACGUGCAUCAGUUGAUAAACGGAUAAGCAAAAUGUGGUGUUACCACACAAUGGAAUAUUAUUUGGCCAUAAAAAGAAAUGAAGUAGUGAUACGUGCUACAACUUGUUGCCACACACUAGAGGGAGAGAGGAUUGGGGAGUGACUGCUAAUGGGUACAGGGUUUCUUUUUGGGAUGAUUAAAAUAUGCUAGAAUUAGUAGUGAUAAUGGUUGCACAGUUCUGUAAAUAUACUAAAACUACUUACUUGCAUGUUUUAAAAGAGUGAAUUUGUGGUAUGUGAUUCUUUUUUCCCAGCUUUCUUGAGGUAUGAUUGACAAAAUUGUGUAAAUGUAUGGUGUGCAACAUGCUGAUUUGAUGUACAUAUACAUUGUGAAAUGAGUGCCCCCAUCGUGUUAGUUAACACAUCUGUCACCUCACCUACUUACAUUUGUGUGUGUGUGUGUGUGCUAAAAACAUUUAAGAUCUUUACCAGACCCAAAAGUUUUUAAUUACAUGCAAAUUAAGAGGUGUGUUAUUCAGAAUGCUCUAGAAAAGAACAAAUGCCGAGUUGUUGCCAUGGAAAGGGGUGGUAACUUGCAGCUCAUUGCCAUGGCAUUUGUAAACUGUCAUGGCACUGGUGGGAGUGUCUUAUGCUAAUGAGCAGCAAGGGUAAAUAGAGGUUGCCUUUGGCACCAUCUGCUGGUUUCUUUACUUCAUCCUGGGACCAGGAAGUAAGUCCUGCUGGUCUCCUAUGUCGCCUCCGCAGGCAUAGACAGAAAUGGGAACUUCUCUUUUGCUCCCCACAAAACAACCAGAGCAUGGAACAUAUGAAGUAAAGAAUAAUAUUUAUUGAAUGAAGAAAUGAAUUUAACCCUGCAGGCCUAGGUGGGAGCUUCCAGUGCCUCUUGUCAUCAUGCUGGUAUGUCCAGGAAGUGGGAGGUGGCACCAAUGUGUAGCCACCCUGCCUGAGCCCACCAGCCUUGGAGUCAGAACACCCUGGGGUAAAUCCUGGCUCAGCUCUUCUCAGCUAUGUGAUCUCAGCCACCACCACUGAGCCAUGUGGUUAUCCCAUCCAGCCUGCCACCACUGGACUGUAUGUACCGCGGUUCUCCUAUCCAGCCCACCACCACUGGAAUCUCUCUCCUGUAUGUAAGCCCCAAAUAAAACCUCAUGUCUCA